GCUUUCGGAAUNCNGGGCGUUAAGCGGCACGNUAGGCGGUAUNAUUAAGUUUAGNUGUGAAANCCCUCGGGGCCUCAACCCUGGAGAANNGCAUUUAAAACUGGCUGAUCUGGAGUACGUGUAGAGGGAGGUGGAAUUCCCCGUGUAGCGGUGAAAUGCGUAGAUAUGUGAAGGAACACCGGUGGCGAAGGCGNCCNUCUGGACNGAUACUGACGCUGAGNUGCGAAAGCGUGGGGAGCAAACAGGAUUAGAUACCCUGGGUAGUCCA
rnacentral:rRNA from 1 species